GAACCCUGAUCCAGCCAUGCCGCGUGUGUGAAGAAGGCCUUAUGGUUGUAAAGCACUUUAAGCGAGGAGGAGGCUCUUUUGGUUAAUACCCAAGAUGAGUGGACGUUACUCGCAGAAUAAGCACCGGCUAACUCUGUGCCAGCAGCCGCGGUAAUACAGAGGGUGCGAGCGUUAAUCGGAUUUACUGGGCGUAAAGCGCACGUAGGCGGAUCGAUCAGUUAGGGGUGAAAUCCCGGGGCUCAACCCCGGAACUGCCUCUAAUACUGUCGAUCUCGAGUUCGAGAGAGGUGAGUGGAAUUCCGAGUGUAGAGGUGAAAUUCGUAGAUAUUCGGAGGAACACCAGUGGCGAAGGCGGCUCACUGGCUCGAUACUGACGCUGAGGUGCGAAAGCGUGGGGAGCAAACA
rnacentral:rRNA from 1 species